rnacentral:rRNA from 1 species
UACGUAUGGUGCAGGCGUUAUCCGGAUUUACUGGGUGUAAAGGGAGCGCAGGCGGCACGGCAAGCCUGAUGUGAAAGCCCGCGGCCCAACCGCGGGACUGCAUUGGGAACUACCGGGCUGGAGUGCCGGAGAGGUAGGCGGAAUUCCUAGUGUAGCGGUGUAAUGCGUAGAUAUUAGGAGGAACACCAGUGGCGAAGGCGGCCUACUGGACGGUGACUGACGCUGAGGCUCGAAAGCGUGGGGAGCAAACAGG